AUUCAUUCAAUCUCCGGGCACAGGUCUGAGAUGGGAUUGUGUAUAAACUUGGUGAGUGUUAGAGAAAGUCUCCUCCCAUUCCUGAAGGAAAGCCUUUGGGUCAGGGCAUGUGUGCUGUUCCUCUGGGUGUUCUGCACACUGGGUUCAUUUCCCCUGAACACUUUUUCCUGCUUAUUGGUCAAACCCAGGAUCACUCUGAGGGAUCUUCACACGCAGCUCCCCUUUGCUGUGGCAUGACCUGCUGUGCAGUUUGUGCUUUUGGCUCAGAUCUGGCACUUGUCUCCGUGUUUUUUCCCAUUUGAAUUAGAGACAGUUUGCAAUAAUUUAUCCUGUUUAGGACAAAAUAAUUCUCAGAUUGUUUUAGGAAUAUUCCUUCCUGGAAUUUUGUUGCCCACUUCCCCCAGGAGUGCUGAAAACCUGUGGUUGCCCCCUGUACCCGUUCAGGGGGAGGGAGCUGAAUGUGCCUCUGUGCUUUGUGCAGAAUGAGAUUCCUGGUGGUGCUUAGGAAAGAACUAAGAACUGCAGAAGUAUCCUGAGUAGGGCUUGGCUUGGGUUUUGAUAGGAGAGGGAUGAGAGGAGAUGUGGGGGAUUAAGAACUGGGUCCCUGUCACGCUCUAAAUACGUGGAUGGUCAUAAAUAUUAUCUGAACUUACCAUGUGGUGUUUCAUGGCUAUAAAGGGACCACAAAGCACUUUUCACCCUUGUUUCUCUCCCCCUUCAAAAACUGAGCCUCUUUUAUUCACUUUGCUCGGAGACAGAUGUGCAGCUGGAGGGCCAGGCAGAGGUAACCCUGAAUCCCCUGAAUUUCUGCCUUUUUAGACAAUUGAAUGCAUAGAGCCCAACCCUGGCACGAGUGAGCCAGGCAGCUGCAGCACAUUCCAAAUCUCGCUCUAUUUAAAGCAUCCCAGGGCUCCCAGAACAACUGCAGAGACAAACCUUAAACCUGCCAUUAAACCAGCAGAGGGGGAAUGGCAGAACCAGCCCCAGCCCCGCUGUCCCGCCUGGUUGUCCCUGUGCUCCUGGCACUUGGCUGGAUCCUGGGAUGUGCCCUCAUGGUUUACAUUGUCUUCUCCUGAUGGCAGGCAGAAGAAUUCACAGGGAUGUUGAUUAGAAGAACCUGGAAGUUCAAUUGAGAUUUCUGAUGGCUAAAAUAAGAGUGGAAACACAAACAUAUUUGUCUGUAGCGCAGCCAUGAACAUUCCUUGGCCACUCCAGCAGCCUCAGCAGCAGCACUCGAGUGUGACAUUCCCUUUGGAAUUGUCUCAACACCAAGUUGCUUCACCUGCAAAUGACCCGAGGGCACAGGGGGGCUGUUUCAUCAGGUGUCCGGAAAGAGAGGGGACAAACCCUGCAGUCUCUUGGAGAGCU